UACGUAGGGGGCAAGCGUUGUCCGGAAUCAUUGGGCGUAAAGAGCGUGUAGGCGGCCAGGUAGGUGGGUUGUGAAAACUGGAGGCUCAACCUUCAGAGGUCGACCCAAACCCCCCUGGCUAGAGUCCGGAAGAGGAGAGUGGAAUUCCUGGUGUAGCGGUGAAAUGCGCAGAUAUCAGGAAGAACACCCGUGGCGAAGGCGGCUCUCUGGGACGGUACUGACGCUGAGACGCGAAAGCGUGGGGAGCGAACAGG
rnacentral:rRNA from 1 species